GGCUUAACACAUGCAAGUCGAGCGGGGAAGUAUAGCUUGCUAUACGACCUAGCGGCGGACGGGUGAGUAAUGCUUAGGGAUCUGCCUAUUAGUGGGGGACAACAUUCCGAAAGGAAUGCUAAUACCGCAUACGCCCUACGGGGGAAAGCAGGGGAUCUUCGGACCUUGCGCUAAUAGAUGAGCCUAAGUCAGAUUAGCUAGUUGGUGGGGUAAAGGCCUACCAAGGCGACGAUCUGUAGCGGGUCUGAGAGGAUGAUCCGCCACACUGGGACUGAGACACGGCCCAGACUCCUACGGGAGGCAGCAGUGGGGAAUAUUGGACAAUGGGCGAAAGCCUGAUCCAGCCAUGCCGCGUGUGUGAAGAAGGCCUUUUGGUUGUAAAGCACUUUAAGCGAGGAGGAGGCUACCGAGAUUAAUACCCUUGGAUAGUGGACGUUACUCGCAGAAUAAGCACCGGCUAACUCUGUGCCAGCAGCCGCGGUAAUACAGAGGGUGCGAGCGUUAAUCGGAUUUACUGGGCGUAAAGCGUGCGUAGGCGGCUUUUUAAGUCGGAUGUGAAAUCCCUGAGCUUAACUUAGGAAUUGCAUUCGAUACUGGGAAGCUAGAGUAUGGGAGAGGAUGGUAGAAUUCCAGGUGUAGCGGUGAAAUGCGUAGAGAUCUGGAGGAAUACCGAUGGCGAAGGCAGCCAUCUGGCCUAAUACUGACGCUGAGGUACGAAAGCAUGGGGAGCAAACAGGAUUAGAUACCCUGGUAGUCCAUGCCGUAAACGAUGUCUACUAGCCGUUGGGGCCUUUGAGGCUUUAGUGGCGCAGCUAACGCGAUAAGUAGACCGCCUGGGGAGUACGGUCGCAAGACUAAAACUCAAAUGAAUUGACGG
rnacentral:rRNA from 1 species